UGGGGCACAGCAUUGUGUGUGG
rnacentral:miRNA from 1 species